CAGGACAGGUGUAGAGGGCAGGGGACAGCUUCUGAGAGCCCCAUGGCCUUGUCCCAGCAAGUCUCUUGGAGGACUUAGAGAGUCCAGAUUCACGCACCUGCAUGUUACAAAGGAGAGUCUUAAGAGUUUUCUUCUUCCUUGCUACUGAUUUUGAUAGAAAAAAACCUCUCCUAUUUUGAAGCCAUUGUCUAUACCUCACCUUGCGGGCCGAGGGUGUAACACGCCAGUGCAGUACCCUCUCCAGGCCACGCUGGUAUUGGAGAGCGAGGAGGAGUAUGAGGGACAGGCACGCUGAACAUCCGCCCCCAGCACUCCAUCAUCUGGAGGAUGGGUUCAUUUGGACUUCGGUGUGGCCCUCCGGCCAAGCCAUGGAAAACCCACCACGGUCAGCUGACCGCCUACAGGGGGCACCAGAGACAAGAAAAGGGCUGCAGUACGCACCCAGCUGCUAGAAGGCACUCAGUCGUGUGCCUGAAAUUACAUCUGCUGGUCCAUGCUCCCAGAGCAGUGGCCAUGUUGCUCUGCACACCUCAGCUGGUAGAACCUUUACCUGCUCUGUCAAUGGUGAUCCAUGGAGACGCGUGAAAGCACGAGACAAAUAGGGCAUUGAUUGGGACAGAAUUGCAGGAGAACACUUCUUUUCAUUGAAUCUCAGUUACUGAUACUGCUGCCAGAAGGCAUCCCUGUGAAUGCUCUGCUACAGGAAAAGAGUUGGGGCACGGAGAAAAUGCUUUCCCCAUCACCGAGAACUGGACUCCAAUGUUAGCGGUGGCUCUCCAUCUUCUGGCUGGUUCAGUUUUCAUGGGUUGUGAUGGCAAAGUAACCACAGUGAUGGCACUGCACUAAGAGCUGUAACUCAUUUGAUUAAGUUCUAGGAUCUAUCAGCUGCCUGCCCUAUAUUUAGAAAAUCAAACCCAGCUCUACUUAGAGGCUGAAGAUGAUUGCUAUGUGUUAGACAUGAUCAUCAUCAUCAUUAUCCGUCAUUGUGAAGGAACAGCCACAAGCAGCAUGAAGGAGUCAUGUGCUGUCAAUAAAAAGAAGUCAGGAUCUGGUUGUGGAAUGGGAUGCAUAUCCCAG